GACACCAAAACGUUUCCGCCAUUCUGAGAAAAACGUAAUUCGUGCAGCGAAACCAGUCAGUUAACAAGGGAGCAAGUUGCCAUCAAGGAACUUACAUGGCAGCACAGAGCUCGCUCCCAGUCCGGCGAGGAGGCGUGCGCCGGAGUGAACUCGGGAUGUGAACUAGUGGACUCCACUGACAACCCGCGGCUCGGCGGGCCGUGCCGGAGGGCGGGGGGAAACCCCUGCGGAGUCCAGCACGACGCAGUGCGAUGCCCCGGUACCGCGGCACUUCAAGUAAGUUCGUCAUCACCCUGAUCAGCCUCGAGCGAUGUGACGUAGUCAGUGCUAUGUCACUGCCAGUUGUUAGUUAUAUUCACCCUUCGUUUUAGAUUUAAGAUUUUAAGCAUUUGCUGAUAUUAGUUUAUGAGUUUUUCCAUUAGUUAAAGAUGUUGAAAAAUCCUUGAUGAUUUUAUGUCAUGAUAAAAAAAUGCGGCCUAAAAUCCCCAUCUCAUUUCGCCGCGGCAAAAUGUUACAGUUGUUACGUGCACACAUUUAUGCAUACUUGUUACUGUUGUUCUGACGCAAUAAAGCGUAGCUGGGAGACAUCGUGCUAAAUGUUUCAUGGGGACCGGGUGGCCGACUUGAUGCUAAGCUCGCUGGGAAGAGCGGCGAUGAUCCACACAGUAGCUCGCGAAGUUGCAUCUUGCAACUUUACUGGGAGGUGUGCGUACCGGACACAGCCUUGCCUGGCACAUGAAAGGACGUAUCUUAUAGCUGAAGUCCACAGCUGACGGUUGACGACACACGGAUCCAGAAUGACAAACAUAAUUUUCAAACAUCAACUUGCCGAUUAUUUUUUACAGCGCGCCCAUCAUCACUCACGCAUACCUAAAAUUUAUUUAAAUCCUCAAAAGCACAGCACUUUCGAACCCUCCAAAAGCCAUGCUCAGCUCUUACACACCCGGUAAGAAUCCCCGGGCUGGCGACUCAUGACUGUCGCGACUUGCGGCUCGGCCGCCAAACUGUAUUCGUGCGCGGCAGAAAGUAGUCACUGGCUUGCAUUCUUCCACCACAGACCAACGUAUUAUCAGGCAUUUUAAUAAAGUAUGUUUUACACUCCCCAUUAAAAUAAACGAUAAAAAUACCUAAAACUAAUACUAUAAAUAUACUUAAAAUAAAAUUAUGAAUUAGCUUCUCACAGUAUUAAAAAUAUUCUGGUAUUUUUUCACGAUCAUGUAUGACAACCUUAGCAAACCUCAUAACUAAAUUUACCAGGAUUAUGAACAAAAUGUCCAAAAUAAAUACAAAUAUUAGAAAAUAAAUAAAAUCAAACAGCAUCAAAAACCACAAAAAAAAGGUAACUUGAAAAAUAACCUGCAAUAAUUUGAAUACAAAAAGAAAAACAAAA